GACGAACGCUGGCGGCGUGCUUAACACAUGCAAGUCGAACGGAAAGGCCCUGCUUUUGUGGGGUGCUCGAGUGGCGAACGGGUGAGUAACACGUGAGUAACCUGCCCUUGACUUUGGGAUAACUUCAGGAAACUGGGGCUAAUACCGGAUAGGAGCUCCUGCUGCAUGGUGGGGGUUGGAAAGUUUCGGCGGUUGGGGAUGGACCCGCGGCUUAUCAGCUUGUUGGUGGGGUAGUGGCUUACCAAGGCUUUGGCGGGUAGCCGGCCUGAGAGGGUGACCGGCCACAUUGGGACUGAGAUACGGCCCAGACUCCUACGGGAGGCAGCAGUGGGGAAUAUUGCACAAUGGGCGGAAGCCUGAUGCAGCAACGCCGCGUGCGGGAUGACGGCCUUCGGGUUGUAAACCGCUUUCGCCUGUGACGAAGCGUGAGUGACGGUAAUGGGUAAAGAAGCACCGGCUAACUACGUG
rnacentral:rRNA from 1 species